AAGAGUUUAGAAUAAUGGUAGUUUUGUGAUCUCCAAAAUCAAAGGUAGGUGUUCGAUUCGCCUAACUCUUG
rnacentral:tRNA from 1 species